rnacentral:lncRNA from 1 species
GACAUGACCCUUGAUAGGAAAGUCUGGAGGUCUAGAAUCAGGAUUGUAGGAUAGGGGCUUCUAGAGUUUUUCGUACGCCUCAUCUGGGGUUGGGUGUGGGUCAGCAGGGUUACCCAUAGAUGAUUUGUGUUUUAGCUUAUGUCUCCCUUAUGGCUGUUAGUUAUGGUAGUUACUGUAUGAUAUUAUUGCAUGCGAUUUUAUUUAUNN